rnacentral:rRNA from 1 species
GAUGAACGCUGGCGGCGUGCCUAAUACAUGCAAGUCGAGCGAACGGACGAGAAGCUUGCUUCUCUGAUGUUAGCGGCGGACGGGUGAGUAACACGUGGAUAACCUACCUAUAAGACUGGGAUAACUUCGGGAAACCGGAGCUAAUACCGGAUAUAUUUUGAACCGCAUGGUUCAAAAGUGAAAGACGGUCUUGCUGUCACUUAUAGAUGGAUCCGCGCUGCAUUAGCUAGUUGGUAAGGUAACGGCUUACCAAGGCAACGAUGCAUAGCCGACCUGAGAGGGUGAUCGGCCACACUGGAACUGAGACACGGUCCAGACUCCUACGGGAGGCAGCAGUAGGGAAUCGUCCGCAAUGGGCGAAAGCCUGACAGAACAACGCCGCGUGAGUGAUGAAGGUCUUCGGAUCGUAAAACUCUGUUAUUAGGGAAAAACAUAUGUGUAAGUAACUGUGCACAUCUUGACGGUACCUAAUCAGAAAGCCACGGCUAACUACGUG